rnacentral:lncRNA from 1 species
GCUUAGUUUUGGGUUUAGGCUAGUUGGGUUUCUGUAACUUGGGUUGGGGAUUUAGGGUCUGCUUGGUUUGGGCCACAUUGAGCCCGGUAUAAAGGGAGUAUUUUUGGAUUUUUAAUUUUGGUUUUAUAUUUAUUAUUUUUAUUAUUUAUUUUUUUAUUUUGUUUAUUUAUUUGGACCGGGCAAAAUUAGGGUAUUACAGCUGCCCCUCUUUGCUCGUUGUUGUGUAACGGGAACGGAGCAAAGACUCUAAAAAUAGCCAAAGUUUG